GGGUCUAUAGCCCAGUGGUAGAGCACCUAUUUUGCAUGCAGAAAGUCCCAGAUUCAAUCCCUGGAAGGACCG